rnacentral:lncRNA from 1 species
ACUGAGUUAAAAAUUGAAACAUCAAGCCAUGGGAAUGAAGAAAGGGAAGCCUGUGUUACCUAUCACUACUGUGCCAAAGUCCUUCCUUUUGUCCAGACAUUCCACUUUACAAAAGAGGGCGACGGGAACGAUGAGGUGUGGCUCGAGCUGAGGGAAAGUUUAUCUAUUCUCUCUGGGUAGAGGCAUGGGGAGAACUCCCAUUAUCCAAUUUGACAAACUCCUGACCUGCUUUAGCAGUUGAAAAUCAUCGUUCAUGGAUGCUUGGAUGACACAGGACACAGAAGCUCAGAGAAGUUAGUUGACUGCCUAGGCCACACAGCAAAUGAAUGGCAGAUUCAGCAUUUGAACCGAAGUCAUUGGCUCACCUCCAAAAAGAAGUUCAACUGAUGCCAUGAGCUGCAGUCAACCCAACAGAUAGCUCUCUCCGAAUCUUCUCCACAACUCUGCCAUAUUCCCACCUGUGUAUUUGGCUUCCUGCAGCAAAUACCACAACAAGCCAGGGCCUGUAGCCAGCAUGGUGAGUAAAGUCACAUUGAGCUGCAAUGGGUGGCUAGUGUCCCCUCGUCCAUGCCCCCAAGGUGGGCCCACACAGGGAAUGCCACUGCAGAAUAUUUUUGUACCCUAAUUCAUAGCUCACCCAAAAGCCUGGCUUCCCCACAUUCACAAACAUGGAAAUGAUGACCUGGAGAGGAUAAGCAGUCAAUCAAGUCACAAAGGAGGCAGAUGCCUCCUCUGAUGAAUAGGGUACAAAGUGGAGCCAGGAAAGCAGCAGGUGGGCCACCAUGGGGCCUGUGACAGGCAGGCUCAGCCAGAAAAAUGACAGAUGGAGAGAUGGAUUGAUCCAUGGAUUAUUAAAUCAUCAAGUUCUCGGCUUCUCUAACCUUCAUCGGGCCCUUGGAUCUCUGUCCAGGAACUCCAAACCCACCCCUACAAAGCAGGUAGAGCUGGACCUGGCAGCCCUCCACAGCCUUAGCCUUUGCCUCUGCCUCCGGGGGACUCUGGAUAGGAGACACAGGCACUCAGUUCUCACUCAGGGUGAGGCUGAAACCCAUAGGGUUCCUAUUUAAAGCCUGUCUCAUUCAUCAUUUCAGCACCAACCAACAAUUAACCCUGAUUCAGUCAAUGCCGACAACACAACCAGCCUUGCGCUGAUUAUUUAAAACUCUGUCCUGGCCUCUGGGGCCUUCAGAACCGGGACUGUUUGUCCUGCCAGGAACGAAGCCCCACCCUCCGGAUCCAGGAUCCCAAGGACAUAUGUAGGGUAUAGGGUCUGCUUAUGCAGCCCUGGCUGGAGCUCUCUCCACCUAGCUCACUGAGGGAGAUCUGAGAGGCUGGCUGGGAGGAACAGCUCUGAGAAGGCUCUGGGAGGACUCAGAGACGCCAGGAGAACAGGAAAAGGGACCUAGAGACAGAAGGA